UAGGGAAUAUUGGACAAUGGGUGAGAGCCUGAUCCAGCCAUGCCGCGUGCAGGAAGAAGGCGUUAUGCGUUGUAAACUGCUUUUGCCAGGGGAUAAAAAGACCGUGCGCGGUUAAUUGAAGGUACCUGGUGAAUAAGCCACGGCUAACUACGUGCCAGCAGCCGCGGUAAUACGUAGGUGGCAAGCGUUGUCCGGAUUUAUUGGGUUUAAAGGGUGCGUAGGUGGCCCUGUAAGUCAGUGGUGAAAUAUCUCAGCUUAACUGAGAGGGUGCCAUUGAUACUGCAGGGCUUGAGUACAGAUGAGGUAGGCGGAAUUGACGGUGUAGCGGUGAAAUGCAUAGAUAUCGUCAAGAACACCGAUAGCGAAGGCAGCUUACCAAGCUGUAACUGACACUGAGGCACGAAAGUGUGGGGAUCAAACAGGAUUAGAUACCCUUGUAGUCCCUGAGCGGGCUGGCAAGGCGCAU
rnacentral:rRNA from 1 species